rnacentral:rRNA from 1 species
AUUGAACGCUGGCGGCAGGCUUAACACAUGCAAGUCGAGCGGGGGAAGGUAGCUUGCUACUGGACCUAGCGGCGGACGGGUGAGUAAUGCUUAGGAAUCUGCCUAUUAGUGGGGGACAACAUCUCGAAAGGGAUGCUAAUACCGCAUACGUCCUACGGGAGAAAGCAGGGGAUCUUCGGACCUUGCGCUAAUAGAUGAGCCUAAGUCGGAUUAGCUAGUUGGUGGGGUAAAGGCCUACCAAGGCGACGAUCUGGAGCGGGUCUGAGAGGAUGAUCCGCCACACUGGGACUGAGACACGGCCCAGACUCCUACGGGAGGCAGCAGUGGGGAAUAUUGGACAAUGGGGGGAACCCUGAUCCAGCCAUGCCGCGUGUGUGAAGAAGGCCUUAUGGUUGUAAAGCACUUUAAGCGAGGAGGAGGCUACUCUAGUUAAUACCUAGAGAUAGUGGACGUUACUCGCAGAAUAAGCACCGGCUAACUCUGUGCCAGCAGCCGCCGUAA